UUAUUUGAUAUAAAAUGGGAUAGGGUACCGGCCUACCCAUAAUUUUGUAGCAAAAUUCUGACAUGAGAACUUAAAGACACAUGUGCACUCCGAAUGAGGUGGAGUCUUACCGAUCCUUCAUUGAAUGCUAACCUCGUCUACUAUGAGGGCUCGUCAAACUAAUUAUCUAUACCCGCAAGCAUGAAUGCAGUGUCCCCAACUAAAGAACGUCAGUAUAAAUAAUGUACUGAGUAUGUAAGGCAUGUUAAUCAAUAUACAGAGGACAUGAAAGAAACAUGGAGUACAUGACUCAACCUGUAAGUCUAGAUAACUCUGUGUAUCAUUUAAUACUUAUAGUGUUAUGCAUACACGUAUGAAUGUCAUGUCGUUCAUACGUACAUAUUUCAUAACAUCAUCAGGCCUCUGAGGGCAUCCCAUCAUAUCAUCUCGGCUACUGUGG
rnacentral:lncRNA from 1 species